rnacentral:rRNA from 1 species
GAGUUUGAUCUUGGCUCAGAUUGAACGCUGGCGGCAUGCCUUACACAUGCAAGUCGAACGGCAGCACGGGAGCUUGCUCCUGGUGGCGAGUGGCGAACGGGUGAGUAAUGCAUCGGAACGUAUCCUGGAGUGGGGGAUAACGUAGCGAAAGUUACGCUAAUACCGCAUAUUCUGUGAGCAGGAAAGCGGGGGACCUUCGGGCCUCGCGCUCUUGGAGCGGCCGAUGUCGGAUUAGCUAGUUGGUGAGGUAAAGGCUCACCAAGGCGACGAUCCGUAGCAGGUCUGAGAGGAUGAUCUGCCACACUGGAACUGAGACACGGUCCAGACUCCUACGGGAGGCAGCAGUGGGGAAUUUUGGACAAUGGGCGAAAGCCUGAUCCAGCCAUGCCGCGUGUGUGAAGAAGGUCUUCGGAUUGUAAAGCACUUUAAGUUGGGAGGAAGGGCAGUAAGUUAAUACCUUGCUGUUUUGACGUUACCGACAGAAUAAGCACCGGCUAACUCUGUGCCAG